rnacentral:lncRNA from 1 species
CACAGCUGCAAAGCUGUCACCUCUGCAUCAUCCUGCUCCCUUCUGGGAUGGAACACCAGGGCCCUGUAACCAGCCCCGAGGGGCGUGCACUUUACCACGGCUGUUACUGCAACCAACAGCUCCGUAGGCUCCGAGCCCUGGUCUAGGAGGGUCCCAACCCUCCCAGGAAGGCCCUGGGCAGGAUUUUUAAAGCAAAGUGAUCCACAGCUGACACACAAGCCAUGUCACAGGAGUGACAAGCCUGGUAAGUGAAUCUUCUUGGAAACUGGACCCCGAGUCCCAGGUGGAAACACGUCCCCCCAGCACACCUAGCAACCCAGUGUCCAUCCGCGGGGUACUUCUGGUCACGUUUUGCAAUCUCCAAGCCGCCCAUCCCCAUGUCAGCGACAUCCUCGGGCCAACAGUGAACGUGGUGAUGGCUGGAAUUCAGUGCUGGCACCCAGAGUGCUCCUUCACCAAGGCACUCAAGUUAAUUCUGCCCCUAGCUGCCAAGCCAGCCGACUGGUGUGCCCCCGCCUUUGGAGGGGAAUCUAGACGUUCAUAUCGACUCAUAUUGUUUUCCUCUCCUCAGUGUGAUCUUGGGAACCUGGCCAAGGGGGCUGAUGGCUGUCGUCUGAUGAUGCCGGGAAGUCUUCAAUAAGCUGACAUUUCCUGUGGCCGAGCUGCCAUGUCUGAAGGCCAAACCAAACAGUGCUUGGGCCCUUUGGACCCUGACUCUGUUUCUGUCUCUCUCUGAUCCAGUCCCAGGCCUGCCCGCCCUGUGCCUCAAUCCAGCCUGGGUAGCUGGGCCAUGCAGGGGUCAGGUGGAGGGUUGCUUCCAGCCAGACUGAACUACAAGCCACCCUGGAGAGCAGGGCAGGUGGGGGUGAGACUCGGGCUUUGCUAUGAGACACAAAAGGGAAACGCUGGCUAGAACGUGUUGCCCGUGGGCUAGAAGGAGUUUAGGAGGCAGCCUCAAACUUUUGUCUCUCUCAAAACUUGUGUUACUGCUAAUUGAAUCAUGUCACUAAAAAUAAAAAUGCUAAAGUUAAGAAAGUAAAAUCUGGGAGGAGGACAACAAGGAAGAGUGUCACCAGCUUAAUUGGCCCAAACAACCCUUCACGGUGUUUCUUCCUGCAUCACAACGAUUCCUUCACGGUGUUUCUUCCUGCAUCACAACGAUUACAUCCUCUGACCCCUAAAAUGAGCACCUUCUAGCAGAACCUGAGAGUUUAACCUUAUUGCUUAAAAGCACGGGUCAGGUCUCACUGCAGGGCUGCCCACCUCUCCAGCCUAUGAGUGGCUCCCCCUGGGGGGUUGGCAGGCGUGGCCUGGACAGACCCCAGGCAGUUUCCCAGCAGAACUCCAGGUCCGGGUCCUCCACCAUCUCAGGACAGCGCUCCCAUGUGUGGGGUGUGGGACAAACAGGAGGUAGGGAGCCAUUUCUUGGAAAGUGGGCAUCAGACCCACCGUAUUACAUCUCAGCUCUUGGGUCACCCCCAAAAGUCAAGCAACUAUUUAUUCUUUUCCCUCAACCCUUUCCACCCAGACACCCCUCUGCAGACCUGCUCAGACUUUCUGCACCCCUCUGCUCUUGCCUUUCUGUUCGUGAUUGUUCCAUGGGUCAGGAAGUGUAUUUACUUUUACUGCAGCCAGAGGUCAACACUCUGAGACUCUCGGGAUCCCUCGUUUUCUCUGGAGCUGGCCAUUCUUCCGGGAUAAUCUACUCUGGCCCCUCCUCUGGCCGUCAGGGAAUCUGGCUCUGCUCAGCGUGGCCGGGUCGUGGCCGUGGACUCAGCCCCUGGCGGCUGGUGUGGAGGGCCGCAGCGCUCUCCAGGGCGGUCCGGCGCAGUGGUUCUUGUUUUAAUGUAGGGAUCUGGAUGGAGCAACAGGCCAAAUGGCUCAACGGUCCCAGCUAGUGACAUCAAUAAUAAGUGAAAUAAGUUGAGCUUGAAACAGGCUGACCCACCGACAUGGGGUCAGGGAGUGGGCAGUGGGCAGAGAGCUACAGCAAGGGGUCCAUAUAUGGGCAGAUAUUCAGCGACGACGGCUCAAAAGUUCUAUCCAAAAGAGAGAAGCCUCUCUGGGGAGAGGCCAGAGCUGACAAGAGCGGAGCUGACCACGAGCCAUGUGGGAAAUGACUCAUGAAGAGGCCACAGACCUGGAAGGGGCUGGGGACAUUCACCAGGCAGCAAAGCAGAGCCGGCCAGGAGCCGAGGCCAAAGCCUCCCAGUACCUCAGUGUCCAGGACUGAUGGACACUGCAUGGGCCUGGGACCAGACCCUGGGCUGUGACCUGAAUAUGACCACCACCGGGAAGCAGGCACUUGGGCACAGGGAGUGACAGCCAAGCAGCGGG